UUAUUAUAGUAGGCGUAGCGCCUUUGUUCGUAUUCGGCAUUAUGUUCAAUGAAAUGAUGUUGGCAAAAUGUAAAACUCAUCCACCACCCCCCCCCCUCUCCUGUUGAAAAACCCGACGGUGAGAAGGUUAAAUGUGGCCAGUCAAAAAACAAAAUCAAGAACAAUCAUAUAUAAACGUGUUUUUGACAUUAAGUACUUAUUAAAAUUAUAAUACCCAAUACGUG